GCCAUAGAUCAGUGGCAGAACAUCAGUGUUGCAUACAGAAGGUCCCAGGUUCAAUCCCUGAUAGCAUCU